CCGGCCACAGGCAGCGCUUCGCCAGCCGAGGAGCCGGGCGCGGACACCGCCGCCCCGCGAGCCUCCAGCCCCUCGCCUGUUGCCGCGCGAGCCCCGGGCCCGGAGCGCUAGGAGCGCGCGGAAGGAGCCAUGGCUCUGGACGGGAUAAGGAUGCCAGAUGGCUGCUACGCGGACGGGACGUGGGAACUGAGUGUCCAUGUGACGGACCUGAACCGCGAUGUCACCCUGAGAGUGACCGGCGAGGUGCACAUUGGAGGGGUGAUGCUUAAGCUGGUGGAGAAACUCGAUGUAAAAAAGGAUUGGUCUGACCAUGCUCUCUGGUGGGAAAAGAAGAGAACUUGGCUUCUGAAGACACAUUGGACCUUAGAUAAGUAUGGUAUUCAGGCAGAUGCUAAGCUUCAGUUCACCCCUCAGCACAAACUGCUCCGCCUGCAGCUUCCCAACAUGAAGUAUGUGAAGGUGAAAGUGAAUUUCUCUGAUAGAGUCUUCAAAGCUGUUUCUGACAUCUGUAAGACUUUUAAUAUCAGACACCCCGAAGAACUUUCUCUCUUAAAGAAACCCAGAGAUCCAACAAAGAAAAAAAAGAAGAAGCUAGAUGACCAGUCUGAAGAUGAGGCACUUGAAUUAGAGGGGCCUCUUAUCACUCCUGGAUCAGGCACUGAUGUUCUUUACAUUGGCCCUCUGAAAGGAAGUAUAUAUUCAAGCCCAGGACUGUAUAGUAAAACAAUGACCCCCACUUAUGAUGCUCAUGAUGGAAGCCCCUUGUCACCAACUUCUGCUUGGUUUGGUGACAGUGCUUUGUCAGAAGGCAAUCCUGGUAUACUUGCUGUCAGUCAACCAAUCACGUCACCAGAAAUCUUGGCAAAAAUGUUCAAGCCUCAAGCUCUUCUUGAUAAAGCAAAAAUCAACCAAGGAUGGCUUGAUUCCUCAAGAUCUCUCAUGGAACAAGAUGUGAAGGAAAAUGAGGCCUUGCUGCUCCGAUUCAAGUAUUACAGCUUUUUUGAUUUGAAUCCAAAGUAUGAUGCAAUCAGAAUCAAUCAGCUUUACGAGCAGGCCAAAUGGGCCAUUCUCCUGGAAGAGAUUGAAUGCACAGAAGAAGAAAUGAUGAUGUUUGCAGCCCUGCAGUAUCAUAUCAAUAAGCUGUCAAUCAUGACGUCAGAGAAUCAUUUGAACAACAGUGACAAAGAAGUUGAUGAAGUUGAUGCUGCCCUUUCAGACCUGGAGAUUACUCUGGAAGGGGGUAAAACGUCAACAAUUUUGGGUGACAUUACUUCCAUUCCUGAACUUGCUGACUACAUUAAAGUUUUCAAGCCAAAAAAGCUGACUCUGAAAGGUUACAAGCAAUAUUGGUGCACCUUCAAAGACACAUCCAUUUCUUGUUAUAAGAGCAAAGAAGAAUCCAGUGGCACACCAGCUCAUCAGAUGAACCUCAGGGGAUGUGAAGUUACCCCAGAUGUAAACAUUUCAGGCCAAAAAUUUAACAUUAAACUCCUGAUUCCAGUUGCAGAAGGCAUGAAUGAAAUCUGGCUUCGUUGUGACAAUGAAAAACAGUAUGCACACUGGAUGGCAGCCUGCAGAUUAGCCUCCAAAGGCAAGACCAUGGCGGACAGUUCUUACAACUUAGAAGUUCAGAAUAUUCUUUCCUUUCUGAAGAUGCAGCAUUUAAACCCAGAUCCUCAGUUAAUACCAGAGCAGAUCACGACUGAUAUAACUCCUGAAUGUUUGGUGUCUCCCCGCUAUCUAAAAAAGUAUAAGAACAAGCAGUUCUCCCAUGAGAGAAUAAUGUUCAAUGGUAAAGGUGAUGUUUACUCAUGUUUAGAUAACAGCGAGAAUCUUGGAGGCCCAUCAGAAUGUAGCUCAGAUGAGUCUAAUUGAAGCCAAGAUGAGAUUUAUUCAAGCUUGGCAGUCAUUACCUGAAUUUGGCAUCACUCACUUCAUUGCAAGGUUCCAAGGGGGCAAAAAAGAAGAACUUAUUGGAAUUGCAUACAACAGACUGAUUCGGAUGGAUGCCAGCACUGGAGAUGCAAUUAAAACAUGGCGUUUCAGCAACAUGAAACAGUGGAAUGUCAACUGGGAAAUCAAAAUGGUCACCGUAGAGUUUGCAGAUGAAGUACGAUUGUCCUUCAUUUGUACUGAAGUAGAUUGCAAAGUGGUUCAUGAAUUCAUUGGUGGCUACAUAUUUCUCUCAACACGUGCAAAAGACCAAAACGAGAGUUUAGAUGAAGAGAUGUUCUACAAACUUACCAGUGGUUGGGUGUGAAUAGAAAUACUGUUUAAUGGAACUCCACGGCCAUAACAAUAUUUAACUUUAAAAGCUGUUUGUUAUAUGCUGCUUAAUAAAGUAAGCUUGAAAUUUAUCAUUUUAUCAUGAAAACUUCUUUGCCUUACCAGACCAGUUAAUAUGUGCACUAAACAAGCACGACUAUUAAUCUAUCAUGAUAUGAUAUAAUAAACUUGAAUUUGGCACACAUUCCUUAGGGCCAUGAAUUGGAAACUGAAAUAGUGGGCAAAUCAGGAACAAACCAUCACUGAUUUAAGCUAGCCAAACUGUAAGAAACAAGCCAUCUAUUUUAAAGCUAUCCAGGGCUUAACCUAUAUGAACUCUAUUUAUCAUGUCUAAUGCAUGUGAUUUAAUGUAUGUUUAAUUUGAUAUCAUGUUUUAAAAUAUCCUACUUCUGGUAGCCAUUUAAUUCCUCCCCCUACCCCCAAAUAAAUCAGGCAUGCAGGAGGCCUGAUAUUUAGUAAUGUCAUUGUGUUUGACCUUGAAGGAAAAUGCUAUUAGUCCGUCGUGCUUGAUUUGUUUUUGUCCUUGAAUAAGCAUGUUAUGUAUAUUGUCUCGUGUUUUUAUUUUUACACCAUAUUGUAUUACACUUUUAGUAUUCACCAGCAUAAUCACUGUCUGCCUAAAAUAUGCAACUCUUUGCAUUACAAUAUGAAGUAAAGUUCUAUGAAGUAUGCAUUUUGUGUAACUAAUGUACAAACACAAAUUUUAUAAAAUUGUACAGUUUUUUAAAAACUACUCACAACUAGCAGAUGGCUUAAAUGUAGCAAUCUCUGCAUUAAUUAAAUGCCUUUAAGAGAUAUAAUUAACGUGCAGUUUUAAUAUCUACUAAAUUAAGAAUGACUUCAUUAUGAUCAUGAUUUGCCACAAUAUCCUUAACUCUAAUGCCUGGACUGGCCAUGUUCUAGUCUGUUGCGCUGUUACAAUCUGUAUUGGUGCUAGUCAGAAAAUUCCUAGCUCACAUAGCCCAAAAGGGUGCGAGGGAGAGGUGGAUUACCAGUGUUGUUCAAUAAUCCAUGGUUCAAAGACUGUAUAAAUGCAUUUUAUUUUAAAUAAAAGCAAAACUUUUAUUUAAUA